GUCUUUUGAGCUUUCCACGCUCACGAAAGGUAUAUGCUUGUCACCAUGCAUUGCAUCAAUCAUGGGCAUGCAACGCCAUAGCAAGCUAGCUAGGUAGUUCUUUUUCAUUCACUUGGCCUUUUAAAAUUAGUUGAAAUACCCAUGCAUGUUUAAUUCGCCUAAUCAAAGGUCUGCCCAAAUGCCAUAUCCAUAUUGAUUAAUAUUGAUCUUCAAUGGGUUUCAGGUUACACCAUGACAAUUAGUUUACAACGUCGUCCAUUAAUCUGGCCGACUUUCGGUGCAAUUUUGUUGGUUUUCAUCAAUUUGUUUAGUAAUAAGCUGGAUACGUUGGUCAUAAGCGAUUUUGAUUCUGAGCUUCUGUGUCAUCAAGACAUUUAUGGGAAUUAGCUAGGCCGGCAUGAGAUUUGUAAAGCCGGCACACAAAUUAAAUAGGUGACAUAAUUAUAAGUUUUGUUGUCGUCCUCA